GACGAACGCUGGCGGCGUGCUUAACACAUGCAAGUCGAACGGAAAGGCCCUGCUUUUGUGGGGUGCUCGAGUGGCGCACGGGUGAGUAACACGUGAGUAACCUGCCCUUGACUUUGGGAUAACUUCAGGAAACUGGGGCUAAUACCGGAUAGGAGCUCCUGCUGCAUGGUGGGGGUUGGAAAGUUUCGGCGGUUGGGGAUGGACUCGCGGCUUAUCAGCUUGUUGGUGGGGUAGUGGCUUACCAAGGCUUUGACGGAUAGCCGGCCUGAGAGGGUGACCGGCCACAUUGGGACUGAGAUACGGCCCAGACUCCUACGGGAGGCAGCAGUGGGGAAUAUUGCACAAUGGGCGGAAGCCUGAUGCAGCAACGCCGCGUGCGGGAUGACGGCCUUCGGGUUGUAAACCGCUUUCGCCUGUGACGAAGCGUGAGUGACGGUAAUGGGUAAAGAAGCACCGGCUAACUACGUG
rnacentral:rRNA from 1 species